rnacentral:lncRNA from 1 species
GAUCUCAGCAAGAUCCCUAGAUCAACCCCAGGAGGACAAGGGACUCUAAAAACCUCCCUUUCCUGUCCCAAGCCCUCCCUUCCUGCCCUAAGCCCAAUAAAAUUCCAAUCCGGCUGAGCCUGGGUGCAAUUCCCCUGACCCGCUCUGUUGGACUGGAGGGUCUCUCCCGGAUUGAAUCUCAAUAAACCUCCUUUAGCAGCUUUUAAUCUGCCUCCUUUUGGUCACCAGCACCUAACCUUAC